GUCCAAGGUCAAUACGGAAAUUCUUUUAGAGGUUUUCCCUUACUUUGUUCGUGUUAACAAACAAUUCAAAAUACCUCAACUUUUUUAGAACUGGUCCAAGUCAAAUAG
rnacentral:rRNA from 1 species